AAUGGAUCGCCGCCGCCGCGGCCUACCCUUCGCGCCGGCCGGGAAGGCCACUUCCAUGUCGCAGAUCCAUGCCACGCAUUGGAAGGAUGCGCACCUGGUCCUCCUCACGCGCAUCAUCCUCCAUUGACGCAGCCGCCACCGGAUCUCCACCUUCCCCCACCGACGUCCCUCCCUCAGCGCCCCACCGGCGACCUCCCCGGAUCAACUGCACAACCAGCGCCCCUCCCCGGUAAGCACGUACAACCAGUGCCCCUCCCCAUGUCCCUGCACCACCGGCCGCUUCCUCCACCAUGGCCCAACGCCAGCUCCUGCUCGGUCGCCGCAAGAUUGGGCGCUCCUUGAUCCACAGGCCUUACUUCGUGCCGGCUGCUGUCGUACUUUUAUCUCAACAACCUUCAGCACAAAAUGCCGAAGCUCCUCAUCAAGCCCCUCUACAUCAAUGGCAACUGCAAGGUCAAGGAGAGAGGCCUCAAGAUGUAGAAUGGUCAUUCCUGGAAUGAUGAAGAUGUCAGCAAUUUUAAAUGAGACAACAAGUUUGGAAGCCUUAAACACCCCAUGUCCCAGCCACAGGGGUAACCAAUCAUCGCCUACUGCUGCACUAAGUUGUUGGUGAGGACAUCCAGGGGAACGGAGAUGCUCAAGAAUGUGUCCGAGUUCGAG